UACGGGGGGGGCAAGCGUUGUUCGGAAUUACUGGGCGUAAAGGGCUCGUAGGCGGCCAACUAAGUCAUACGUGAAAUCCCUCGGCUUAACCGGGGAACUGCGUCUGAUACUGGAUGGCUUGAGUUCGGGAGAGGGAUGCGGAAUUCCAGGUGUAGCGGUGAAAUGCGUAGAUAUCGGGAAGAACACCUAUGGCGAAGGCAGCUCUCUGGGACGGUACUGACGCUGAGACGCGAAAGCGUGGGGAGCGAACAGG
rnacentral:rRNA from 1 species